GAUGAACGCUAGCUACAGGCUUAACACAUGCAAGUCGAGGGGCAGCAUGAUUGAAGCUUGCUUCAAUCGAUGGCGACCGGCGCACGGGUGAGUAACACGUAUCCAACCUGCCGAUAACUCGGGGAUAGCCUUUCGAAAGAAAGAUUAAUACCCGAUAGUAUAGUAUUUCCGCAUGGUUUCACUAUUAAAGAACUUCGGUUAUCGAUGGGGAUGCGUUCCAUUUGAUAGUUGGCGGGGUAACGGCCCACCAAGUCAACGAUGGAUAGGGGUUCUGAGAGGAAGGUCCCCCACAUUGGAACUGAGACACGGUCCAAACUCCUACGGGAGGCAGCAGUGAGGAAUAUUGGUCAAUGGACGAGAGUCUGAACCAGCCAAGUAGCGUGAAGGAUGACUGCCCUAUGGGUUGUAAACUUCUUUUAUACGGGAAUAAAGUGGAGUAUGCAUACUCCUUUGUAUGUACCGUAUGAAUAAGGAUCGGCUAACUCCGUG
rnacentral:rRNA from 1 species